GGGAACACAGUGGCUCCUGGGAAAUAACCACUAAAGUCUUGAAAUGUCUUGAGUGAUUGGAGGACCUUUAUUUUUCACGCCUGAUGCCUUAUGCUGAUGAGAUGACUCAGCAGGGGAUGGCCAGGCCAGAAAGACCAAAACUGUAUCCUGAGGUUUGAGUUUCUGAGCCAGGUGAUGUCAUCCUCCAGCUUGGCCGGCCUCUUUCUGGGAGCCUCUGGUGUGAAAGAGAGCAGGAGUUUGCCUAAAUCUUCAAAGAUAUGUGAGGCUUGCCUAGAACAUCAUCAUCAGGAAUGCUGGUCCUUCAAUUUGUUUUUUGAAUUGAAGUGUAGUUUACAGUGAUCAAGUUGAAAAUAAGGCUCUGCAUGAAAGCUAACUAUUAAAAGGGUGUGGGCACAGGAGCAACCAACACAGACCCCACAGAAUCCCAAACCUAUGCUAAGAGGGAGCACUUCCAUCCCUCCAAACCUGUGCUAAGAGGGACACCUCCAUCCUUCUAAGCCUGUGCUAAGAGGGAACACCUCCAUCCUUCCAAACCUGUGAUAGGAGGGAGCAUCUCCAUCCUUCUGAACCUGUGCUAAGAGGAAACACCUCCAUCCUUCCAAACCUGUGAUAGGAGGGAGCACCUCCAUCCUUCCGAACCUGUGCUAAGAGGGACACCUCCAUCCUUCCAAGCCUGUGCUAAGAGGGAGCACCUCCAUCCUUCCAAACCUGUGAUAGGAGGGAGCACCUCCAUCCUUCCAAGCCUGUGCUAAGAGGGAGCACCUCCAUCCUUCCAAACCUGUGAUAGGAGGGAGCACCUCCAUCCUUCCGAACCUGUGCUAAGAGGGACACCUCCAUCCUUCCAAGCCUGUGCUAAGAAGGAGCACCUCCAUCCUUCCAUCUGGCAACCCCACAUCUUUCUGUGCAGCAUUGGCUCAUGGAGUUUUGCACAAUCUGUUGCCUUAAUGCAGCUGUGAGGUGGUAAACCCCAUGCCAUUGCACAGCUGUGCUGGUGGAGUCUUCAACAACAGAGGGAUGAAACGAGAGUGCUGAGUGAUGGGUGGAGUGUGCUCACAGAAGCCAGCUGUGCUUGCCCCACUCCCACCCAAAAUGUUUACCCACGUGGGAAAUGCCUGCCCUGCAUAGGAGUACCCAAGGAACCCAGGAUAUAAAGAAACUUCUAAAAUGGAUCUGAAAGGGGGAAGAGCCCUCCCCUGUAAGGAAGCGAGAGAGAUUUAUUAAAAAUCAUCAACUUCAAAUUAUUUGGAUGGAAACAUUGCCAAAUCAUAGAGAUGUUUGCUACCACCCGCACACCAAGCAGCUGGGUAACUAGAAGUGCAGGAUCAGCUUAUUCACCUCCGAAAGCCUGCAUGCAACCACUGAGGCCGCCUCUAUUUUUUACAUAGUUCUACUUGGUGUAUGUAACCCCACAGAGAAACCUGGAAGAAUGCAUGAAACCUAGUAAGGCAACCAGCACAUGCAACAGAAUGAACCGUUUCUUUCCAUCUGAAUGCCUAAAUGUGGACUCUGAUCCUUUCUACCAAGUCCUAAGUUUGGGAAAAGAGGACAAGGACAGGGGCUCUGUCCCAUAUCAUAAUGUGCUUGUGAAUGGCUAAAAUUACAAUGCUGAGAUAAGUGUGUGUAAUAAAAUAAUUGCACCCCGAA
ensembl:lncRNA LINC02411 long intergenic non-protein coding RNA 2411